CAAAACUUAAACAAAAAUAAAUAACGUUUUGGUUUUGGCUUCAGAUUAUUUGGUUUUGACAUUAAAUAUUUUAGGUCUCCCACGUUUUGAGAAUAUGCUCUAUCUCAUAACCCCUUUUUGCGCACGAUCUCUAUCUCAUAAUUCUAUUUAACUCUUAUAUCUCUCUUUUUUGGUGUUGCCUCCAUCUACUAUUUUCUCUCUUUCUCAAGCAAAUCAACAAUCCUGCUAGAUUCUUCUGUUUUUAUUCGUUUCAUCCAUUUGAUUCUAUCUUUAUCUCUUAUUUUCUUCCUUUUCUUUAUAUUAAUCUCUGCGAUUUUAAGGUUUCAGGUACAAAGCUCUUUUCACUCAUUAAAGGUCGAACUUUUUAGCCUACUGCCUAUCAACGACUCCAAGGAUCCGUAAUGCCAAUGGAAUUUACUAAUCGAUAUUUCUGAUUCAGAUCAUCAGAUGUUGAUACAGCCACUACUUUGUAGUAGAUCUGACCACUACAGCGUUAAAGGCUUUCAUCAAGACUAUAUGAACAGCCAAUGCCAAUGAUGAUAGCAAAAGUGUAGAAAAGGGUGGAAGGAGAAGCUACGAAUCUCGUUUGGCUGCUGCGGUUUGACGGAGGCAAAGGAGGUGGCGUAGGACAGUAGGAGACCAGUUUACCCUAGUUUGCUUUGCUUUGGUUUGUAUCAUAAUUGGUUAUCUACUACCAGCUUAAUUUUUGUAACCAGUUAACCGAUUGGUAUGGGUUGUCAAUAAAAUAUAUUCUAAUUACUAAUUUCUUUU